GCAAAGAUAAAAACACGGCCCGGUUGGUAGUCCGGGCGCAGCGGAUGCUGUUAGUAACCUGCCUCCUUGGUUGUCCAUUCUUUGUGAAAUG
rnacentral:ncRNA from 1 species